AGAGUUUGAUCAUGGCUCAGAACGAACGCUGGCGGCGUGCCUAACACAUGCAAGUCGAACGGAUUUGAGGGGCUUGCUCCUCAAGUUAGUGGCGCACGGGUGAGUAACGCGUAGAUAAUCUGCCUGAUGAUCCGGGAUAACACUUCGAAAGAGGUGCUAAUACCGGAUAAGCCCACGGUAUCUUUGGAUUCUGCGGGAAAAGGGGGGGACCUUCGGGCCUUCUGUCAUCAGAUGAGUCUGCGUACCAUUAGCUAGUUGGUAGGGUAAUGGCCUACCAAGGCUACGAUGGUUAGCUGGUUUGAGAGAAUGAUCAGCCACACUGGAACUGAGACACGGUCCAGACUCCUACGGGAGGCAGCAGUGGGGAAUUUUGCGCAAUGGGCGAAAGCCUGACGCAGCAACGCCGCGUGAGUGAUGAAGGCUUUCGGGUCGUAAAGCUCUGUCGAGGGGAAAGAAGUGUAUUGUGGCUAAUAUCCACGAUACUUGACGGGACCCCAAAGGAAGCACCGGCUAACUCCCGUGCCAGCAGCCGCGGUA
rnacentral:rRNA from 1 species